AUGGCGGCAGGAGAAGGACACCCGCGGUUCGCGCUUUGCUUCACCCUGAAACAGACUCAGCUCACCUGCUCCAUGGUGGAUUUGGCCUUCACCCCUUAUGGCUACUUUCUGAUCAGCACUUGCAAAGAUGGCAAACUAAUGCUCCGCCAGGGAGAUACAGGAGAGUGUAUUGGAGCAUUUGGGGGUCAUAAAGGUGCUGUUUGGGGUGCAACAUUGAAUAAAGAUGCCGCCAAAGCUGCCACAGCAGCUGCAGAUUUCACGGCCAAAGUGUGGGAUGCUGUCACAGGAGAUGAACUGAUGACCCUGGCUCAUAAGCAUAUUGUCAGGACUGUGGAUUUCACACCGGAGAGCAACUACCUGUUAACUGGGGGACAGGAUAAACGGCUGUGCAUAUAUGACUUGAACAAACCUGAGGCAGAACCUAAGGAAAUUAGUGAUCACACUUCCGGUAGUAAAAAGGCUCUGUGGUACAGUGAGGACCAACAGAUUCUUUCAGCUGAUGAUAAAACUGCUCGUCUUUGGGAUCAUGCUGCAAUGAUUGAAGAGAAAUCUGUGAAUUUUAAUAUGUCUGUUAUCAGCAUGGAAUAUAUCCCUGAGGGAGAGAGAGGUCCUAGUGCUCACUUACAGGUGGACUAUUGCUUUUCAUAGUACAGUAAGUCUGGAGCCAAUUAAAUCCUUUGAAGCUCCUGCAACCAUCAGUUCUGCGUUUCUUCAUCCUCAGAAGAAAUUUCUUGCUGCAGGUGGAGAAGACAUUAAACUGUAUGACUAUAAUACUGGAGAAGCACUAGAAUCCUACAAAGGUCACUUGGGUCCCAUUCACUGUGUGAGGUUUAGUCCUGAUGGUGAACUCUAUGCCAGUGGUUCUGAAGAUGGGACAUUGAGAUUGUGACAGACUGUGGUAGGAAAACCCUAUGGCCUUUGGAAAUGCUUCCUGAGGAGGACAGUGGGGAACUGGCAAAGCCAAAGGUCGGUUUUCAGGAAACAGCUGAAGAGGAGCUGGAAGAAAUUGCUUCAGAGAAUUCAGAUUCCAUCUGUUCUUCAACUCCUGAAGCUGUGUGCCAUAGGUGCCGUAUACGUACUAAAGAAGCAGAGAAAAGUACCAGCCUUCAGACUGACUCUCUGCCUGUGGCAAGGAAGGCAGAAAAUAUUGGGGAAUAUGAAUUAGCUCAGUGCACGAACAGCGACUCGGUGCUCUGUGAGUGAAAGCAGCUGCGUGUAUGAGGUGCAGGCAGGAGGGUUAUGUUCAUGUAGUGCCGCAGCCUGCUCUCUCGAGUGAGCAAGCCAACGUACAGUUUACAUUUUACACUUACAUUUUUGUAGCUGUUUAUGUUAUGGAAAAUAAACAUAUAUUGGCCUAUUUUUGAGACUUUUCCCUUAAAGCAGAAUGCCUUUUUUCUCUUAGUUGGGAAGAAGAGGAAUUACACGAUCAAAUAACUGGUUUAGUCUCUUUCAUUGUACACUGACUGCUUCUGAACAUCGAAUAUUUUUUAGUUAUCUAAAUAAAAUGCCUCUAAAGCAAAAAAAAGUUUUCAUAGGCCCUCUGCAUAUAUGCUACAGUUGUGUAACUUGGUCUUUGUGUGAGAUUUUUAACAGUGAGAGCAGGGACUGUCUCUGACUCUAUUAACCUAUUUUGGGGACCUGUUCUUCCUACUGGAUUGCCUUAUUCAGACUUAAUAGAAAAGGAGAUGCCUAGUCUACUGCAACUUUAUAUAACAUAUAUAAUAUGGCUGAUAUAAAUGGGAGGCCUGCCUAUAUCUGAAGAGCAAUAGUGGAGGAGGAGU